rnacentral:miRNA from 1 species
GCAGGGAAGCCACGAGCAGUGCCACCGCAUGGUACUCGGAGGGAGGUUGUCCGUGGUGAGUUCACAUUAUUUAAUGAUGC